UCCUCUCUCUUCCUCUCUUCUUCUUUCGCCCUCUCUUCCUCAGCAAGUUUCUGUUUCUCUUUCAAAUCAGCAAACAAAGAAUCAGUAUCUUCACCACCAAAAAGACGAGUAGAAGGACUUUCAGUCUUUGUCUUUCCCGUGAAAAGAGAAUCAGAAUCCUCUUCCCCAAAAAGAGAAGAAGAAGAAGAAGAAGAUUUCUUUUCAGGUUC
rnacentral:ribozyme from 13 species